rnacentral:rRNA from 1 species
GAUGAACGCUGGCGGCGUGCCUAACACAUGCAAGUCGAACGGAGAUUACGGACGGAAGUUUUCGGAUGGAAGCCUGUAAUUCUUAGUGGCGGACGGGUGAGUAACGCGUGGGCAACCUGCCCUAUACAGGGGGAUAGCAGCUGGAAACGGCUGGUAAGACCGCAUAAGUCGGCGAGACCGCAUGGUUUUGCCGGGAAAUGAGCAAUCAGGUAUAGGAUGGGCCCGCGUCCGAUUAGCCAGUUGGCAGGGUAAAAGCCUACCAAAGCAACGAUCGGUAGCCGGACUGAGAGGUCGGACGGCCACAUUGGGACUGAGACACGGCCCAAACUCCUACGGGAGGCAGCAGUGGGGGAUAUUGCACAAUGGAGGAAACUCUGAUGCAGCGACGCCGCGUGAGUGAAGAAGUAUUUCGGUAUGUAAAGCUCUAUCAGCAGGGAAGAUGAUGACGGUACCUGACUAAGAAGCCCCGGCUAACUACGUG